rnacentral:rRNA from 1 species
AUGUCGAGCGUAUACGCUUGCAUGUUGUUCUUAUUCUUUGUCGUGCUAAAUCCGGUGAGCCUCGCCGCCGGCGCCACCAACAGCAGCGGUGCGGCUGGAUUCAGCCUGCCCCUCGUGCCCCACUACCGCACUGAAGCCGGCGUACUCGAGGAGCUCCUGCCGGAAGGUGAUGCCGAGGGCGGCGUGAACAUCACGUCCAUACGCCCCAAGAUGAUCCCAUUGACGGGGCCUGUCUACAGCGUCCGCGUCGGCGUCGGCAGCGGCGAAACCCAGCACUUCUACAAGCUCGCGCUGGACCUCGUCCGCCCCCUGACGUGGAUACGGUGCCGACCAUGCAUACUGGAGAAGAAGCAGGAGGGCUCUAUCUUCAACACCGCCGUCUCCCCUCAUUACCACGCCAUUGCGUCCACAGACCGUCGCUGCACGGCCCCAUACAAGCGCGGCAGCCGGGGCCGGUGCAUCUUCGACGUCAAGUACCAGUACCACGGCUCAAGCGCGCAGGGCUUCCUGAGCACCGACAACUUCGCCUUCGACGGUAGCGGCCCCGGGAGCCACAUCAGCGGUGUGGACGGCCUUGUCUUCGGCUGCGCGCACUCCACGCACCAGUUUGACAACCACGGCGUCUGGGCCGGCGUCAUGAGCCUCAACAGGCACCCGACCUCCUUGAUCCGGCAGCUCUCGGACCGCGGCCUCGCCGCCUCGCGCUUCUCCUACUGCCUCGUCGGCAAGGAGCACGAGCACCUCCACCGGCGUGGCUUCCUCCGGUUCGGCGCCGACAUCCCGGACCAACCGCACGCACGGAGCACGGCGCUGCUGCACGGGGAACUCGCCCAAGGAGGGGGCAUGUACUACGUCCACCUCGUCGGCAUCAGCCUGGGCGGGCGAAGGCUCACGGCGAUCACGCCGGCGAUGUUCGAACGCGACCCGCGCACCCUCCGCGGCGGGUGCACCGUCGACGUUGGGACGUCGCACACCUUGCUGGCCCCGGACGCGUACCAUAUCCUGGCGGCCGAGGUCGUGGCGCACCUGCAGAGCCGCGGGGUGCACCGCGCGCCCGGGCCGGUGCAGAAUCUCAAGCUGUGCUUCCGCGGGGCGUGGGACAGUAUCCGCGCGCACUUCCCGAGCGUGACGCUCCACUUCGACCCGGAAUCGGCCGUGCUCUUUAUCAAGCCGGAGCUGCUGUUCCUGGCAGUGACGCAUCAGCAUACCCACUAUGCGUGUUUCACCGUCGUGCCGUACGCUGAGAGGUCAGUGAUCGGCGCGGGGCAGAUGUUGGACACACGCUUCACGUUUGACCUCCAACACAACCGCCUCUUCUUUGCUCCGGAGGAUUGCCAUCUAGACACUAGCGCAGUGGGGAUGACCUAA